CCUGAACGCUGGCGGCGUGGCUAAGACAUGCAAGUCGCACGGGCGUAGCAAUACGUCAGUGGCGAACGGGUGAGUAAUGAAUCGCUAAUGUACCCCGGACUCUGGGAUAGCCAGCCGAAAGGCUGGGUAAUACCAGAUGAUAUGCAGCUAUCGCAUGAUGGUUGCCUCAAAGGUCCGCCGGUCUGGGAGCAGGCGAUUUCGUAUCAGCUAGUUGGUGAGGUAACGGCUCACCAAGGCGACGACGCGUAGCCGGACUGAGAGGUUGGCCGGCCACAUUGGGACUGAGACACUGCCCAGACUCCUACGGGGGGCUGCAGUAACGAAUCUUCCGCAAUGCACGAAAGUGUGACGGAGCGACGCCGCGUGGAGGAGAAGCCCUUCGGGGUGUAAACUCCUGUCAGGGGUUAGAAAGUUCUGAUCAACCCCAGAGGAAGGCACGGCUAACUCUGUGCCAGCAGCCGCGGUAAGACAGAGUGCC
rnacentral:rRNA from 1 species